rnacentral:rRNA from 1 species
AUUGAACGCUGGCGGCAGGCCUAACACAUGCAAGUCGAGCGGAUGACGGGAGCUUGCUCCUUGAUUCAGCGGCGGACGGGUGAGUAAUGCCUAGGAAUCUGCCUGGUAGUGGGGGACAACGUUUCGAAAGGAACGCUAAUACCGCAUACGUCCUACGGGAGAAAGCAGGGGACCUUCGGGCCUUGCGCUAUCAGAUGAGCCUAGGUCGGAUUAGCUAGUUGGUGGGGUAAUGGCUCACCAAGGCGACGAUCCGUAACUGGUCUGAGAGGAUGAUCAGUCACACUGGAACUGAGACACGGUCCAGACUCCUACGGGGGGCAGCAGUGGGGAAUAUUGGACAAUGGGCGAAAGCCUGAUCCAGCCAUGCCGCGUGUGUGAAGAAGGUCUUCGGAUUGUAAAGCACUUUAAGUUGGGAGGAAGGGCAGUAAGUUAAUACCUUGCUGUUUUGACGUUACCGACAGAAUAAGCACCGGCUAACUCUGUGCCAGCAGCCGCGGUAA